UACGGGGGGAGCAAGCGUUGUUCGGAUUUACUGGGCGUAAAGGGCGCGUAGGCGGUCAGCACAAGUCAGUUGUGAAAUCUCCGGGCUUAACCCGGAAAGGUCAACUGAUACUGUGCGACUUGAGUGCGGAAGGGGCAACUGGAAUUCUCGGUGUAGCGGUGAAAUGCGUAGAUAUCGAGAGGAACACCUGCGGCGAAGGCGGGUUGCUGGGCCGAUACUGACGCUGAUGCGCGAAAGCCAGGGGAGCGAACGGG
rnacentral:rRNA from 1 species